rnacentral:rRNA from 1 species
GCGAGGCAGAGCAAACCCCUAAAAAGCCAUCCCAGUUCGGAUUGCAGGCUGCAACCCGCCUGUAUGAAGUUGGAAUCGCUAGUAAUCGCGGAUCAGCAUGCCGCGGUGAAUACGUUCCCGGGCCUUGUACACACCGCCCGUCACACCAUGAGAGUCGGGAACACCCGAAGUCCGUAGCCUAACCGCAAGGAGGGCGCGGCCGAAGGUGGGUUCGAUAAUUGGGGUGAAGUCGUAACAAGGUACC